AUUGAACGCUGGCGGAAUGCUUUACACAUGCAAGUCGAACGGCAGCACGGGUGCUUGCACCUGGUGGAGAGUGGCGAACGGGUGAGUAAUAUAUCGGAACGUACCUCGUAAUGGGGGAUAACUAACCGAAAGGUUAGCUAAUACCGCAUACGUCCUGAGGGAGAAAGUAGGGGAUCGCAAGACCUUCCGUUAUGAGAGAGGCCGAUAUCUGAUUAGCUAGUUGGUGGGGUAAUGGCCUACCAAGGCGACGAUCAGUAGCUGGUCUGAGAGGACGACCAGCCACACUGGAACUGAGACACGGUCCAGACUCCUACGGGAGGCAGCAGUGGGGAAUUUUGGACAAUGGGCGAAAGCCUGAUCCAGCCAUUCCGCGUGAGUGAAGAAGGCCUUCGGGUUGUAAAGCUCUUUCGCAAGAGAAGAAAACUUACCCUCUAACAUAGGGUGAGGUUGACGGUACCUUGAUAAGAAGCACCGGCUAACUACGUGCCAGCCGCCGCCGUAA
rnacentral:rRNA from 1 species